rnacentral:rRNA from 1 species
UAGGGAACAUUAGAAAUGGACGAAAGUCUGAUCUAGCGACACCGCGUGUGCGAUGAAGGCCUUCGGGUUGUAAAGCACUUUUUGGAAGGAAUAGGAAGGAAUGUACUUCCAGAAUAAGUCUCGGCUAACUACGUGCCAGCAGCCGCGGUAACACGUAGGAGGCGAACGUUAUCCGGAUUUACUGGGCGUAAAGCGCGUGUAGGUGGUUCUGUAAGUAGGGCGUGAAAGCUCCUGGCUCAACUGGGAGAGGCCGUUCUAAACUACAGAACUAGAGGAUGGUAGAGGGAGGUGGAAUUCCAGGUGUAGCGGUGGAAUGCGCAGAUAUCUGGAGGAACACCAGUGGCGAAGGCGGCCUCCUGGACCAUUCCUGACACUCAGACGCGAAAGCUAGGGUAGCAAACG